UUCCUACGGGGGGCAGCAGUGGGGAAUAUUGCACAAUGGGGGAAACCCCGAUGCAGCAACGCCGCGUGAGUGAAGAAGUAUUUCGGUAUGUAAAGCUCUAUCAGCAGGGAAGAAGAUGACGGUACCUGACCAAGAAGCCCCGGCUGACUACGUGCCAGCAGCCGCGGUAAUACGUAGGGGGGCAAGCGUUAUCCGGAUUUACUGGGUGUAAAGGGAGCGCAGACGGCAGUGCAAGUCUGGAGUGAAAGCCCGGGGCCCAACCCCGGAACUGCUCUGGAAACUGUGCGGCUAGAGAGCAGGAGAGG
rnacentral:rRNA from 1 species